GUUGCUAUUUCAAUCCGUUAAUUAAGUGAUUCUCCUCAUUGUCAUCAGUGUUAUACCCUCUGGGAAAAUAGCUCAAUUGUUUCCCUGCAUUGAUUUUCAUUGGUAAGUGAUUUCUUAUGAAAUUCUUUUGAGCUUUCCUUAUUAAAAAAGCUUGAGCUUUUAUCACCUAAUACGGAUAUCAAUUAACUUGUGAACGAUUUUGUAAUGAAACUAGGAGUUAAAUAAGAUUUUUACAUGAUGAUCAACUUGUUAAUUUUGUAUAUUUCAUAUUUAACAGGAUUUGGGCACGGAACGUUUGGAUUCUAAUAUUUAUAUAUUUAGUUUUAAUCAGUUUGACUUUCGUAAUCUUUCUCGCCUCAUCAUUAAGGGAUUAAGAAUUAGAGAAACAUUAGAAACAGGAAGAAAAUAACUUCAGAAAUAAGUAAGAGGGAAAAAAAUUUAUGAUAUUUGGUGUUGAAAUGAACUAAAAACUCGUCAGUACAACGUGUCGUUUGCAGGUUGUGAAGAUGAGUGCCAUGUCGUUUCAUUUAAGCAAUAUACCAGAACUGACAAAUUGCCAAUGUCGUUCAAGACCAUUAUAACUCACGUGCCUUACGCAUGCCUCUCUUAAGCUUAAACGGCAAAGCUAGCAGUCGUUUAAGGAAGGCUUAUUAAUAGCGCGUGAGAAGCUCGUGCCAGGUUGGUUAAAAGGCCGUUAGAUUUAGAGGGAAAUCUGGAUCUGUUACACCUGCAUCAACUGAUAUAUAAACGAGCUGGUUCUGGUGUUAGCAUGUAUGACCAAGGAGAGAGAGAUAAGGCAUCGAUACUGAGAGAAAAGCUUGACUAAGUGGUCUCUGUAUUAUGUGUGAUUUCUCUGUAACCUUGAAAGCUUAAUAAAACUGCUCUCUGUGUUGGUUUUCUCCAGUGGAUGUAGGCACCCUUCAACAGGUGCUGAACCACUUAAGCUCUGUGUGUUCUUUGCCUUUAGGUUGUGAUCUUUGAUCUGUGCAUUGUUCUUUGUUAAGUGUAAGAUUGGUUCUUGAAUCUUUGAGUCAGAGUUGGGUCUUGGGGUGAGAUUAAUCUAGUAUCUAAAGGGUUAAUCUCUCAACAUUUGGAAUGUAUCAUAAUUUUUUGUUGAGUAAAUAUGUAUGAAUAGUUUUUGGGAGUUUUAGCCAGGAGUCAUUUAUUGAAGAUGUCUAGCAAUUAAAGAUCUCUGUCUCAGUAGUUUUCCCAAUCAAAAUCAAGAAGCAAAAAAAA
rnacentral:lncRNA from 1 species